rnacentral:rRNA from 1 species
UACGGAGGGUGCAAGCGUUAAUCGGAAUUACUGGGCGUAAAGCGCACGCAGGUGGCUGAGUCAGUCGAUUGUGAAAGCCCUGGGCUUAACCUGGGAAUUGCAGUCGAUACUACUCAGCUAGAGUAUGGGAGAGGGUAGUGGAAUUCCCGGUGUAGCGGUGAAAUGCGCAGAUAUCAGGAGGAACACCGGUGGCGAAGGCGGGUCUCUGGGCCGUAACUGACGCUGAGGAGCGAAAGCAUGGGGAGCGAACAGG